rnacentral:rRNA from 1 species
GCGGCAGGCCUAACACAUGCAAGUCGAACGUGAAGCCACCUUCGGGUGGUGGAAAGUGGCAGACGGGUGAGUAACCCGUGGGAAUCUACCCAAUGGUACGGAAUAACUCAGGGAAACUUGAGCUAAUACCGUAUGUGCCCGAAAGGGGAAAGAUUUAUCGCCAUUGGAUGAGCCCGCGUCGGAUUAGCUAGUUGGUGGGGUAACGGCCCACCAAGGCGACGAUCCGUAGCUGGUCUGAGAGGAUGAUCAGCCACACUGGGACUGAGACACGGCCCAGACUCCUACGGGAGGCAGCAGUGGGGAAUAUUGGACAAUGGGCGCAAGCCUGAUCCAGCCAUGCCGCGUGAGUGAUGAAGGCCCUAGGGUUGUAAAGCUCUUUCGACGGGGACGAUAAUGACGGUACCCGUAGAAGAAGCCCCGGCUAACUUCGUGCCAGCCGCCGCUGUAAAAC